GACCUAGUAGUGUAAGGCUGCACACCUGCUCUCCUUAGCGGCAAGUGUUUAGACUUUGGAAUGCAGGAGGUCCCGGUUCGAUUCCGGGCUAGGUCA